UACGGAGGGGGCGAGCGUUAUUCGGAAUUAUUGGGCGUAAAGGGCGCGUAGGCGGCUGUACAAGUCAAAGGUGAAAUCCCUCGGCUCAACUGAGGAACUGCCUUUGAAACUGUACGGCUUGAAUCCGGGAGAGGUGAGUGGAAUUCCGAGUGUAGAGGUGAAAUUCGUAGAUAUUCGGAAGAACACCAGUGGCGAAGGCGGCUCACUGGACCGGUAUUGACGCUGAGGUGCGAAAGCGUGGGGAGCAAACAGG
rnacentral:rRNA from 1 species